GACGAACGCUGGCGGCGUGCUUAACACAUGCAAGUCGAACGGAAAGGCCUUGCUUUUGUGGGGUGCUCGAGUGGCGAACGGGUGAUUAACACGUGAGUAACCCGCCUGUGACUUUGGUAUAACCUCAGGAAACUGGGUCUAAUAACGGAUAGGAGCCCCUGCUGCAUGGUGGGUGUUGGAAAGUUUCGGCGGUUGGGGAUGGACUCGCGGCUUAUCCUCUUGUUGGUGGGGUAGUGUCUUACCAAGGCUUUGACGGGUAGCCGGCCUGAGAGGGGGACCGGCCACAUUGGGACUGAGAUACGGCCCAGACUCGUACGGGAGGCAACGGUGGGAAGUAUGACACAGUGGGGGGAAGCCUGAGGCGGAAACGCCGGGUGCGGAAUGACGGCCUUCGGGUUGAAAACGGCUUGGGCCUGUGACGAAGCGUGAGUGACGGUAAUGGGUAAAGAAGCACCGGCUAACUACGUG
rnacentral:rRNA from 1 species